CCGGUCAGGAGACCCUGGUUCUGGGUGUACCAUUCCCUAUCUGUGUGCGUUUGUUUUGAUUACUUUAAUAAUACAAUAUCAUGAACUACUUAAAUAUGUACAUUUUAGCAAAUAACCCAUGUUCCCAUUACCCAAUGUGAGAAGUGAAACAUGACCAACAUAGUGGAAGCCCUGGAUGUCCCCCCUCCUUCCUUCAGUCAACCAUGUAAUAUUUUAGGCAGGUCACCUUUACCCUCUUCAGGUGUGGUGUUAGAACCUGUAACAGAAAGACAACAGCCGCCCUGCUUAGCUCACUGGGUUGUUAAUGAGAAUCAAAUGAGUGGUAUCUGUGAAGGCACUUGGAAAAUCUCGAGGUGCUGAGUUGAAGUCAGGAAGGAUUUGCCCAAGAGCUGAUGUAGUCGUGUCGGGUGCCAGCCUGCGUAGACACAGCUCAGGUGUUUGGGUGAGCCGUUUGGUGUAAAAGACUUGACUCCAUAUCUGCAUCUGCCCCCAUGCUGUCAUCCGGCGUAGAGACCCAGCCCGUUCCACUCGAUUCCUCCAUGUCUGCCGAGGUGCAGGAAUUAUACUCUGAACUCCCAAUGAGUGUCUCCAAAGAGCUUCAUGCUGACCCUGAGCCAAGUGCGAUUCCAGAUGUAAAACCUGGAGCCUCAAGCUCUCGUAUAAGUCAGAGUAGGGCAGUGCCCUUGGAGCUGCAGGCGACUCCUGUGGAAAGUUGUCGCGAAGAAACCCCUGAGACCUUGGACCAUGGGGGUGAGCCUGGGCGGUGUGGGCUGGUGGACCCCACAGCAGAAGGUUCUGUGGCUUCUGGGAUCUUGGAUAGGGAAGUGAAAGCCAAGAGCAUGGAGCAAAAGGUCUUCAGAGAUGGAGGGGACCAGGCGGAGAUUGUAAGAGACCCCUGUGAGGGAGCAAAGGAAGACACACGUCAAUAUUCCACAGCUGCUGAAGAGAAGCUCUGCCCCAGCCAGGAGGACCUCCUGAUGCAGGCAAGCAAAGAACAUCUAUGCACGGACCUCCCUGAAGAUGGUCUGAGGAACAAAGAAGGAAAUGUACAAAUUACAGCUGAAACUCUGCUAAAAUCUACUGAGGAAGUACAAGGUAUGAAGGUCAGUGGGACUAAGACGGAUAAUAAUGAAGGACACGAGAACGGCCAUGUGAGUAAAGGUCUCGCGGCUGGGUGCAGCGGAUACCCAGAAAUAGACAAAAUCAUGACCAGUGGUGAGGUUUCAGAGACUAGCACAUUAGUUUCCCUAGAGCCUUUAAACUCUGUGGACCCUGGAUUAAUAGAAGCAACUAAAGAAAAAGAAUGUGAAGAACUAAAAACCUGUCCUCCUUGGUUGUCAUUAUUACCAGGGAAGAGUGCCAUUUCCAAAGUGGACAAUGGAAAGGAAGAGUUGUGUACAUUAAACCCUGUCUGUGAAGCAGAUGACAAUCGCCAACAGGUUCCUGUCCACCGUAGUGAGAGACAUAGUUCUGCACGUGGUAGUCCCAAAGCCAUGAGAAAGGUGGUUAUUGUAGAACCUUUAGAAGAAAAUUCUGAAGUUUCACAUUUCACAUCAUGUUUGUCUGGUCCAGAAUCCAGAGCAACAUCCUCAGAAAAGUGUGGUUUUGAUGGUGAUAGCUUGCUAAAGGGAUCUGCUAAAAAGACAGACAAUUCCUGUUUUGAUGGGGAUGAUCAAAGCAAGAACUUGGCUUCUAGAGAAGAAAAUGAACAGCCUUUGAACCCCAGGAGUGAAAGAGAGGAACUCUUUCUUGUUAAUGCCAGGCAAGCAGAAGAGGAUGCUAGUGGUCACUAUUCUGGAAAAAAAGAGGCUGUUGACUUCCCCAAAGAAAAUAUCCACUAUCACUACUGCCCUCAAGGCAGUAUCCAUACAGACUUCUCUAGUUCUUUAAAGCCCAGUUCUUUUACUGAAGCCACGGAAAUAAUGUUUAAAAAAAAUGAUUUAAAAAUCACUUUAGACAUUCAGGAUAACUUGGCAAACCAUGAGGACCAUAGAGGAAUUUUUGCUAAUAUAAGCCAUCCAGGCACACACUCUGAAGAGAACCAUUUUUCCUUCUCGAUGCAGAUUGAAGAGCCAGAACAGACAACCACUGUAGAGCCUGGUAUGUUAAGUGAAAAGAUUUACAGUAAAGAUUCUAACUCCUUAGUCAGCACCCAGAGAAAUCUGGAAGGCAGCACCCAGUUAAAGGAAGCAUCACAUGACGGAUUUCUGACUGAAAGAAAAUCCCCUGUGAGUUUAACACCAGAGGGCCAGAUAAGUUCUAUAAAUGAGGUGUUGAAACCCAAGAAAGACAUUGUUCCGUUACUGCCAGCCCUAGAAUUUGAUGACAGACCUGACUUAGAAAUAGCUGUACAGAACUCCCAGGACGAUGGUCCCCAUUUAGAUAAACAGAGCACUGCAUGGGAGGUGAAUGAACUUCCUUAUGCCAACGAACUAGUUGUAAACAAAAUAGGAAGUGAUUGUGUUUUAAAUCAAGUGUCCCUUAAUUCUCAAAACCAUGCGAAGUUGCCAACUGACAAAGAGAUGCCUGUAGCAGCGAGCGAGGGCUUCCAACGGAGCCAGCACCCUCCAUCAGAGGAUGGAGCAUAUGGCACUGCUGGUACCCAGACUGUUCCUGUAAAGACAAAAAUGAAAGACAUCUCUCCACCAGGUGACAAAACCUGUGGUGCCUCUUCAAACAAUCCCACCUUAAACAGCAAAUCAGAAAGCCUAGAAAGAAAAACUGAAACAGCUGAUUUAGGAGUAGAAGGUCUGCAUUCCAGACUUCUCUCAAAUCAGAAAGAAGCAGGCUUGCCUCAAGAGGUCUCUGCCAUGGAAUGUCAAAGCAUUCAAUCUCGGGAUCUCUCUAGCUGCCCUUGUGUAAGAAAAAGCAUCCCAGAGGAGAGCGCGUGUUCUGCCCGUGGUGCCCUGGAGCCCAGCGAAACCAUUCUGGAAGUUGAAAACUGUCUGAUAACCAAGUAUGAAAAUGCAUUUCAGCACAGCGAUCACCGCCCCCAAGGGAGAGAAGCCUCCAUGGAAAGUUGCAUCCAUAAAGUGAGUUGUACAUCGGCGGAAAGUGAGCCAGAUGGGGGAGAAACUGAAGGCAACCUUCCAGGAGGUAAGAUCAGAAACGAAAUGACGGCAGGCAUGUUAACUAGUGAAACUCCAAACAGGACCAUCCACACCACCUGUCACAUCCAUCCCAGCGAGGAAGGGCUAGAAGAAAAAGAACAGGACACACCCAAAGAGACUGUGUUUUGUAAACGUAACAUCUGUGAUUGUGCCAUACAGGAAUUAAACCAACCUGCACACAUUCUAAGUCCUGAAAAAUCGUUGGACCAGUUUCCUACUGUUAUGUUCUCCGGUGUUAAAGACAUGAACCAAGCAGCUGAAACUCCUGAACAGAAGGCAGAUGAAGCCCUUGGCUGCCAGAGUAACCCAGACAGAUCCGAUGGAUGCAGAAGUGAAGAUAACCCAGCUAAGGAGACACUAGGCAGCAACCAGAGAGAGGUGGUCGCAGAGCCUAAUGGAGAGGUGAGCCACAGCCUGAAGGAUCUGCCAGUCAGUUCAGGCAAUAACAGCUCAUUGUUUGAUGGAAGCCUGAAGAAAGGGGCCUUUGAAAGGAUUUCUGGUUGUGAGGAGCCCAUAGAUGGUAUGGCAGACAUAGUCUCCACAGGCUGUAGUGAUAAGGGCACAGAAGGCAUUCUGGACAUAAGGGCUUCUAGUACUCUUGAUGGGGGUGCAAGGCAGGAUGGGCCAGCGUUACAGGAAACCUCAAGGAAUGUGCUGUCACAGAGGGUAGAGCCUAUUGCUGCAUUUAUGGGAAGAAUCGACCAGGAUUCAGAUUCCCAAGAUGCUACUUCCUCGACAGCAGACUCUCUCGAAAUUAAAAAAUCACAUGAAGAGAAAGUAUGCAGAUUGUUAAAAGACUGUGAAAUGGAGGUGUGUCCAGACUCUUGUGCCCCUGAGACAGGGUCUGUGGCAGAUCAUAAACCAAAUUUAAGAGUAUUGGAUAGAAUAAAUGUGUCUUUAAAUUAUAUUGAUCUUGAACAGCAAGCUAAAGAAGCAUCUCUGAGAGAAACACAAGGAAUGAUUGAAGGAUCAAGACUAGAAAUAAAUUCUGAGCACAACAAGGGAAAUGCCAUUGGAAUUUCCUCAGAAGAACUGACAUCUUCUGGACACCAAGAUGAGAACUCUGUUCCCCCGGGAAGCCUGAAAUCCACUGAGAUAAUGCCUUUGCAUCUGUUGUCUCAAGAAAAAUCAGAAACAAUUAUGAAUGGUGAGGAAACUGACCCGAAAAACCUUUUUAAACCAAAAGAUGGUGAAAUGCCCUGUGAGAACAUAAAGGACUGCAUGGUCCUGCCUGAGAUGAAAGGAAGAGCACCAAGGGAUAAGAGUAAUCCUAGCGAAGAAAGUGGCACAGCCCUCAUUGCGGAAAGUUUGCCUUUGACGAUGGAAACAGAAACCGAAGUGAAAAAAGAAGAAACUGCAGAACACCAGAGGGGACCACGGGGUCAGUUUCCUGCUGUGGAGGAGUCUGAAGAGAUGACUGUCAGAGAAGGUGUUCAUGGUGAUAACAUGAGCCAGGUGUCUCAGACCCAUCUUAAACCCCCGAGGAGUCUGUGUGAUGCUGAGGACCAACAGAGCCAGAAGGUUUUGGACUACAAGGAAGAGGAACAGAUGCAUCAAAAAGAAGCACAUGCGGCUUUGGAACGAUGCACAUCAUCUAAUAUGUUGUCAGAUGAGGCGCAAAGUAAGAGCCAACCUAAGGAUAGCAAAGCUGAGCCCACUGUGGUGAAAGAAAUCACCCUAGCAAAGCCAGCCACAGGUGACACUGCUGCAGGGUUUCAGAAGCUGAAAGACCCAAAGGAGGAAAGCUUGUGUUGCCCAUCAAAAAAGGACAUUGAGUCGUGUGCAGGCCCUUGCCUCCAUGAUGCCCCCCGGAAAGCACAAGACCCCAACUCCGCUGGGCGUGAUGAACUACAUGGUGCCUUUGGGAACACUUCACAUCAGAAAGGAGUGCUUCCCAUAAAGAAGCAGCCCCACCGAACGUGUAAGAAAGUUUCCUGCCAGGAGCUAGUCAACACAGGGAGGAAAAUAAGUAAAAUCAGAAAUUCUGCCUUUUUAAAGAGCUCCUCUGAAACCAUCCCCACAAACGCACAUAGAUUUCUCAGUUCACAUGCUGUGUCUGUACCUACGCAACCAGAAUCUGAAACAGCCCCUGCCAGGAGCCUUGUUAGCCACGUACCAAAGCAGAAGGCCACUCCAGGCCAGCCCUCGGGUAGCCUGUAUGUUCGGAAGCCUACCAAAGAAUCAGCCUUAUUCAGCAAGCUGUCCAUCCUUGCCUCCAGACUGGCCCCAGCCACAAAGACCCAGAAGCUACGGUAUCGACGGUGUUCCUCUGACCUUCUUCCAGUGGCUAAAAGCUACAAGUGGCUCAGAUACAAAAGACUCCUGGAUGGGUUUUCCUACAGCACAAUACAGCUGAAUCCAUGGUUGGCACGUAGUGAUUGGGACAGGAGGCCUAACAGUAAACCCUUGACGCUUUAUUCGCUUGAAGCCAUCAAAAUGAGCUUCAUAGAUUUGAGCGACAAGAUGCCAUCCCUGUUGUUUGGUUCCGAAAUCUUCCCAGUAUCCUUUCACGUGAAGUCGGGCUCCGAGUGUGGGACCGAGUCCCCAAGAACUUUUCCCGAGCACUGUGCACCCACGAGGCUCGCCUUAGGAGAGGCCCACCGGUGCCCGUCUUCACCUCCCAAGUGGACCUUCUCUUUCUUCUUGGCCCACGACUGCCCUGGGGUGGCCACGUUCAGGGAAGACCCUGGCAUCUAUUGUCAAGCAGGCGCCGAGCCUCCACUGCAGCCUCCAGUUCCUCUCCAAGACCAUGGAGCCACCGCCAUAGUCCAGACCAGAGCAGGCUGCUCCAUCCUUGGCCUUCACACACUCCUAGCACUUUGUUCCCCAGGAUGUUACCGAAUCUGGACGAAAAAACAGAGCUGCUCCAGCCACAUGCCCACCAUGCAGAGGCUCUUCCUGACCCAGUUUAUCCAGGGUCUGAAAGGGUUACGGUCUCCCACCUCCAUAGCAGACAAGGUCUUCUGUUCUCUGCCCUACUCAGUGGGCCGAGUACUGUCCAUUUGGAGCCAGCACGGGCCUUCUGCCUGCCCCUUCGAAAUCUCUGCUCUUCAUUCCUCUCACAGCAAGCGGCAGCCACCUCUGGGCACCAUGAGCAGCCACACUGCAUUACCGUCCAUGCCUCUUCCGGGCCUGGAAGCUGCUUACAGCACCAGCGGCAGUCAUGUGAGGCUAGAGCCUCCAUUCCCUGCCUUGGUACCAAAGUCUCGCUUGGUAACAGACUCAGCUGUCAGCAAGCUCCUGCUUUCAGCCUCCGAGUUCCCGGUUCCUGGAUUUGAUGAGCUGGAUGGUGUGACAGCCCCAUGCCCCCGACCGCAGAGCAGCCCCCCAGAACAGAAAGAGACUGAGCCAGAGAAGAGGCCAAAGAAGGUCUCACAGAUUCGCAUCCGGAAAACCAUUCCUAAGCCAGACCCUAACCUUACCCCCAUGGGCCUUCCUCGACCCAAAAGGUUAAAGAAAAAGGAGUUUAGUUUAGAAGAAAUAUAUACCAACAAGAAUUAUAAAUCUCCUCCUGCAAACAGGUGUUUAGAGACCAUCUUUGAGGAACCUAAGGAACGGAAUGGUACGCUCAUCUCAAUCAGCCAACAGAAGAGGAAGCGAGUUCUGGAGUUUCAGGAUUUCACAGUCCCACGGAAGAGGAGGGCUCGUGAAACUGAUGGAACUGGAGACCUUCUUUGCCAAGGAAGAGGAGGAGCAGGAGCGGUCGUCCGGUUGUUGAGAAGCGAUUCAGGUGGGGGGGUCUCAACUUUAGACUUUCCCGGCCUCCUUGGAAGAGGUUGCCUAAUUUUGCCCUACCGCCCAAACCACUCAGAAUUCAGACUAUGGAUUUUUACCUGUUUCAAGGUGCAGCCUUUUUAGGAACUGGUGAAAGAGGGUCCUCUAACUUGUACUGCUGAGUAUAGAACCUCAGGAACGCUCCCUUUCUCCUGGAAAUGGUCCUGAAUGAUGUCAGCCUCCUCCCCACACUCUCUGCCAUCCACGGAGGAGGACACCAUAUACCUUCAGUAACACUAGGUUUCCAAGGACUCACAGCAUUUGCACGUCCAUGUGAAAGUUCCACGUCGUUUACGGUGGUGCUAGACCAAGAUUAUUUAGACAUGUGGCCUAGGGAGGGGGACCUGGCGUCCUGUCCCAUGUGGUCUCACCAGCUCAUUUUAGUAGUUGAGGAAAGAUGAGCUGCUGUGUUUUCUAAUCCUUUGAGUCCAUCUGUCCAGAACCGUGUGUGUGUGUGUGUGUGUGUGUGUGUGUGUGUGUGUGUGUGUGUGUGUGUGUGGCUUUUCCCCAUCAUUUUCUCCCCUCUGUGACUGUGGGUCACCAGUGCCAGAAGAGCCCGUCCAGGCCCCAUUCGAAAGUGCAGAGAAUUAACAUUCCUUGGCUGGUGAGUGGGAUGCUAAGCCCAGCCUCAGGACACUGGUCACCUCUUCCAUCCUCCCAGGAACCACUGCCACGGAGCAGCGCCAAUGGGAACUGUCAAAGCUCCAGAGACAUUUUCAAGUCAGUCUGUGAGAGGAGUUGACAGUCUGUGCCACACUGGAGCAGAAAAACUGACAGUGCGAGAAAAACGAAGUGCCACGUCUGUCUUGUAGGCGCACUGCCUCAGACAGAGCAUUUAGUAAGUGAAAUACACACCUGGUGAUCCAUGGAGGCUUCUAAGGCCACAGCCACGUAGCAUUAGAGGGGAGCCCGGCUUCCGCACCAGCUCUGAACAAUGCAAACCAGAUGCUGCCAUUGUGCAUUCGCUUUGCCCAGACUGUAGACAUGACCUGUAUUUCCCCUCAAUACCUCUCCCUUCCUGGGACGGGGUCCUUAGACACAAAUGCUUCUCUCUGUCUUUUAGCUUAAGGGAGUGGGAUGAGUUUGUGCCCUUGUACAAACGUUUUUAGGAAGCUCCUGCUGCACAGCUUGCAAACUCCCAGCGAAUCUACAGAGCCCUGUUUGCCAGCUCCAUUGCCAGUGUAGACAGGUCUGCAACGUGGCAAGCGUGGCAGACUGAAGUUGACUUGGGUGCAGCUGUGGCAUCACCAACAUUACGGAGAUACAAUUUCAAGUUUGCCUGUUGCAGGAGUGGCACUUGUCAGGGCCCGGAGCAAUGAUUUGGAACAUUGGUGUUUGGAAUGGGGGCUUGGAGGAAGUGGAGACCUGGGUUCCUUCCUUGUCCUGGGAACAUAGGAAAAAGCUCCACUGAGGCCAGCCCUCUCCUUGUAAUUCUUGGCUUGCAUCUGGCCAAGGCCCUUCCUCAUUCCAAAGUUAGGAAGGGGCCCACUGCAAACUUGAAAUUGCUUACCUGAAGUUGCCACAUCGGGUUCUAGCCGUGUUCAGCCUGUCUGAACAUCCAUUUUUACCAUUGGCCUAGCCAGCUGUAGUGCUGUCUGUGGUCCUCGGAGCCAGCCACCUGCCCAUAGCUACAGGAGGUCUGGUUCUGGGGUGGGAGUUGGUACAGUUUCUGAGUAUAUGGGGACUUACCACCCAAAGACACUUAGUGUUUUUAAUAUGGGAAAGAGAGGAGAAAUCUCAGGUCCAAUCAGGGUUCUGCACGUCAGCUUUUCACUGAAACUUUGAAUUAUAGUGUUUUCCAUUUGUCAGUUUAUAGCUAUAUUUGCCCCCUCACCUUCCCCCUCCUCUUUUCUUUUGGUUUCCUUUCCAGCUUCAUUUCUCUAUUAAUUUAAAUGUACCUCAUCACCUGUUCAAGCUGAUUAUGUCCACUUUUUUUUACUGACCUUAUUCUAAGAGCUACAGCUGAGGGAGGUACGGUGGAGAGACAUACAGCGUUUGCCUUACUCGGAGCCUGAAGAGCUCAGAAACUCAUGCUGUGAAUCCUGAAACAGCGCUCCUCCAAGAGCUGUGAAAAUCAUGACACUUUGUCACAAUUUUGCCUGAAAGGGUCUUUUGCGCGAGUGCCAGAGCCAACCUGAGGUAGAUUCCAGAUCCCACCCUCUGGGCAUGAUCCUCCCCCUGUGGCUGGUUCCCUGUCCGCCAGGCUAAGGGCUGCACAGAGUGCAGGACUGGGUCUGCCGGUCCAAGGCUUCGUGCGGCCUGAUGGAACACAGAGCCAGUACUCCGUCUCCAGGCUGGGAUUUCAUAUCAUAAUGUACAUCAAGAUCUGCGAAAGACCAACUUUUAGACGGUGGUACUUUUCUCCCAUUCCCUGGAGGCAGAGUAUGCAGUUGGUGCUUUCUUUAAUUCCCUUGUGUUCUGUUUUUGUAAGCUUCCCCGACCCCGGUAUCACGGAAAGGACCUCUGAAACACCACAUCGUGGGUGGCUGUAUCCAAAGUCUUUAAGUAGUUGGCCAGAGCUGCGGAGUAUCCUUUCCUGGAUUCAUGCGAGGGAAGGGCUCCUUGCCAUGACUGAACUUCCUGUAUAAAAAGCUGGCCGGGAAGAAGGCUUAAUUUACUGAAAUCAAAGUUUAGUACUAUCAUCUAGCCACAAAUUGAGCAGCAAAGGCUAUUUAUUUUUAUUGUGAAGUGAGGGUCCCCGCAUAGCCUGCCAUCUAGCACAGCACUCUCAGAUUGGAUGCUUGUUCAUUGUGUGUCUCCACGAGCCCCUCUCUGGUGCUGAAUCGGAUUUUAAUUCUUGGCAAGAGGCCUCAGCAUCUCCUUGGGCUGGUCUAGGCCAGUAAAUAGCUGCCUGAAGUGUUUGUAUAUUAUCAUGGUCAAUAGUUCAGUGAAAUUUGUACAUUUUUGGUAACAUUGGCAUACAUGAUGCACCUGCAGUUUCUUUUCUGUUUGGUAGUUUGUGACUAAAAUUCCCACUGUUAUGUGUGUUAAUUUAUGAAAAUAAAAAGGAAUU